AAGACAAUGGGAUGAGGAGGGAGAGAGAAUUUGUUAUUAACUCUCAUUUUGAAACAAGAAUAUCAAGUUUGAAUAAAUCUCUCACUACUGCCAUUUUGCCUCCUAAAAAGACAGAGGGCGAGCAGUUCUUAUUAUUAUUAUGAAAUUUAAUAUAUUUUUAUUAAAUAUAAUUAUUAAAAUGACUUUUAUAAUGAAUUUAAUAACCAUAGUAAAAUGGUUGUUUUCUACUAAUUUCCCACUUGCUACGAGAGGAGAGAAGCUCUGAUUAGAGCAUUUAUCUGCUUUUAGUGAGACAUAAGCGAGGCUUCGACAUUGCUUCAUUUUUAUAUACUCUCUAAAUAUAUAUUCAUUGAUCGAUACAUAAAGAAUUCAUUUACUGAUUGGGUUUGAUUUGGCUUUAAAAGGACGCCUACACACAGAGAUUAAGGAAAUAUGAGCGGAAUGGGAAGGCAGGGACAGAGAUCUGGAGCUACAGCGGUGCAUCACCAGAGACAGUACUCUGAUAAUUUCUUAGACUCUUCUUCUAAUGGUAGAUGGCUUCAAUCUGCUGGUCUUCAACACCUUCAAAAUUCUUCUGCUUCUUCUAUUCCUUCUCUUCAGGACUAUAAAUUCCAUGGUGGUGGAGGAGGAGGAGGGCAGGGGAUAAUGUAUCGCAAUGCCCAGAGGAGUUUUAAUGGAACAAAUGAGUUCUAUGCAGAGCCUACAACGCCUCCUAUCAGUUCACGGCCAUCUACCCAGAGGAAGAAUGGCGAAGACUUUCCAAAUGAUUUCAGUCCUGGGCUAUUGGAUCUGCAAUCGUUUGAUACCGAGUUACUUCCUGAGAUGCCAGUUCCUGGCCUUUAUGAUAGUUCCUCUUUGUUUCAUCCUGUUCGUGGUAGAAGCUUUGACGACUCCGAACCUUAUAUUUCAACCAACAAUCAGACUGGCAGAGCUCCUGUUUUACCGGAUAACAAUCUCUUGAAGAGCUUUGCAGCGGACAAAGAGAAAAACAGUUCCGUUGCGAAGAUCAAAGUUGUGGUGCGCAAAAGACCAUUGAAUAAAAAGGAACUGGCAAAAAAUGAAGAAGAUAUAAUAGAAACACAUUCCAAUUCUGUAACAGUUCAUGAGACCAAGCUCAAGGUUGAUCUAACUGAAUAUGUUGAGAAGCAUGAAUUUGUCUUUGAUGCAGUGCUGAAUGAGGAAGUCUCAAAUGAUGAGGUAUAUCGUGAGACAGUGGAGCCCAUAGUUCCAAUAAUUUUUGAACGCACAAAAGCAACUUGUUUUGCAUAUGGGCAAACAGGAAGUGGAAAAACCUAUACUAUGAAACCAUUACCUCUCAAGGCUUCACGGGAUAUAUUGCGGUUGAUGCAUCACACUUACAGGAACCAGGGAUUUCAGCUAUUUGUGAGUUUCUUCGAAAUAUACGGGGGAAAACUAUUUGAUCUUCUCAGUGACCGGAAAAAGCUUUGCAUGAGAGAGGACGGCAAGCAGCAAGUUUGCAUUGUUGGUUUGCAUGAGUACAAAGUAUCAGAUGUAGAGACAAUUAAGGACCUCAUUGAGAAAGGAAAUGCUACCAGAAGUACUGGAACAACGGGUGCAAAUGAGGAAUCCUCUCGUUCGCAUGCCAUACUUCAACUUGCUAUCAAGAGGUCAUUUGAUGGCAAGCCUCCACGUCCAGUGGGCAAGCUCUCCUUUAUAGAUCUUGCUGGAAGUGAACGUGGUGCAGAUACCACAGAUAAUGAUAAACAGACAAGAAUGGAAGGUGCAGAGAUCAACAAGAGUUUACUUGCAUUGAAGGAAUGCAUAAGGGCUCUUGACAAUGACAAGAGUCAUAUUCCUUUCAGAGGCAGCAAGUUGACUGAGGUUCUAAGGGAUUCUUUUGUUGGCAAUUCCCGCACUGUUAUGAUAUCCUGCAUUUCUCCAAGCUCAGGAUCAUGUGAACAUACCCUCAACACCUUAAGAUAUGCAGACAGAGUGAAGAGUCUUUCAAAAGGAAAUGCUCCAAAGAAGGACAUAUUAUCUUCGGCCUUAAACCUAAAGGAAUCAACCACCAUGCCCUUAUCCUCAGUUUUACCUGCUACAUGUACCUUUCAGGAUGACAUAAAUGAUGCAUGGGCGGAACAAGAUGAACGAGAUGAUUUUGAUGCAUCUGAAGACUCCUACGAACAAGAGAAACCAAUAUGGAAGGAGAAUGUGAAGGUGGAAUCAUAUAAUCUAUCAAUUUCAGAGGAUAAAAUACGGAAACCCAAUGGUUGGACAAAUUGGAAGGAUCUGUUAAAAUCUGAUGAUAAGAACUCACAUUCAGAUGAUUUAAAUGCUCUGCUACAGGUAAUUCAGAAAAUAAUGAAUGCAUAUGCAGUUCUUUUGGAUAUGCAGAUACCUAAGUUGGCAUAUUAAACUUCUGAUACAUAUCCUCAGGAAGAACAGGACCUCGUAAAUGCUCAUAGAAAACAGGUGGAGGAGACCAUGAACAUUGUUAGGGAGGUAUGUGAUGUGGCCAAAUCACUCAAAUUGUCGUUGUACUUGAGCCUUAAGCUCAUAUUCUUUCAUUUUCGUUCAUAGCACGUCUCCAUGGCCCUUGGGUCCUUUAGCUUUUGUGAAUAAAUUGGGGUGAUAAAAAAAUGUGCUGAUCUAAUGGAUUCUCUGUGGCAAAACUUGGCAAAGCUGUAACUAUUUUGGAAAACUUGAGAUGACGCAUUUCGUUGGGAAACCAACCUUACUGAGUUUUUGGAUCUGUGCUGUAGCUUCAUGCCUUGUGAGGAUUUUGGAGCCCAAAAAAAAUGUGUACAAGGGGUUAAUACGUAAUACAUGGAUAUUUAUGAAUGUUCUUUUUUUCAAUUGCAGGAGAUGGACCUGCUGGUUGAAGCUGAUCAACCAGGGAAUCAGCUCGACAAUUACAUCACCAGACUGAAUGCUAUUCUUUCUCAGAAGGCUGCAGGAAUACUCCAAUUACAAAAUCGUUUGGCGCAUUUUCAGAAGCUUUUGAAGGAGCAUAAUAUUUUAGCAUCUUCUUCUAGGUACUAAUCCAUGACAAAUGGUUACCUCUUUUACAGUCGGUUGCACGAUUGUUGGCCUUGAAGUGGAGUUGGGUAUGUGCAAUUCUGGAUGAUUUACCGGCCGUUAUGCAUCUCUUGUAUUCUUUAUUUGGUUUGAGGGGUUGGAGAUUUGAUUAUUUGUUCAACAAGUUACAGGCAAGCAUUGGAUUGCAUGCCAUUUGGCAUGCUUAUGUAAAGUUAUGAUGCACUAUGAUUUGAUUCAUUAAUGGAAUACUUGUUUACUAUUUAAA
rnacentral:misc_RNA from 1 species